rnacentral:rRNA from 1 species
AGUGAACGCUGGCGGUAGGCCUAACACAUGCAAGUCGAACGGCAGCACAGUAAGAGCUUGCUCUUACGGGUGGCGAGUGGCGGACGGGUGAGGAAUACAUCGGAAUCUACUUUUUCGUGGGGGAUAACGUAGGGAAACUUACGCUAAUACCGCAUACGACCUACGGGUGAAAGCAGGGGAUCUUCGGACCUUGCGCGAUUGAAUGAGCCGAUGUCGGAUUAGCUAGUUGGCGGGGUAAGGGCCCACCAAGGCGACGAUCCGUAGCUGGUCUGAGAGGAUGAUCAGCCACACUGGAACUGAGACACGGUCCAGACUCCUACGGGAGGCAGCAGUGGGGAAUAUUGGACAAUGGGCGCAAGCCUGAUCCAGCAAUACCGCGUGGGUGAAGAAGGCCUUCGGGUUGUAAAGCCCUUUUGUUGGGAAAGAAAAGCAGCGGGUUAAUACCCCGCUGUUCUGACGGUACCCAAAGAAUAAGCACCGGCUAACUUCGUG